AUGCAAUCUGGAUUUCCACACAGCCAAGGAGGGGCAUAUCCUGCGGUCCAACACUGGCGUGCUCUUACAUCAUUUCAAGACAACAAUGUUACACCUGUACCACUGGUUCACCCUGCAAAUGGAAUACAAAAUAACGUGGUAGCCACUCAAUAUCCUGGGGAGCUCAGAGUGUCUUACAAUCCAGCUCAGUGGCAGCAAGACAAUACACAAUCGCAACAACAUUUCCAAGGACUCUACCACCAACUGGAGUCACAAGCAAGCAAUGCUUUCCGUUAUUCAUCAGCACAUGCCUCUGCCCAACACGGCGAUUCUUUUGGUACAUCUGCUAAUGAGAACUCUGUAAGGCAGUCUGUUUAUAACACCAGACAGCAAAGGGAAUGUUCCAAACAAAAAGGGUCAAAUUGGAACACAAGUAACUGUUCUGCAGCACUUCAGGGAGACACAUUUGGACACCGAGCACAGACUUUACAGGAUCAGUUGUCUUCUGUGCCCGAGAGUCACCCAUUGUUGUAUGCUUUACUGAAAGGAAACUGUGAGAGUGAGCAAGUGAAAAGUUCACUAGCUGCUAUAAACUGUGGAAAGACUAGUACAAAAAACCUGGAUUAUUCAGGAGGAACCCAUUCUGUUCCCUGUCAGCAGCAGGUCUCGUCCCCACCUUCACAGACAUCCACAGAAAACAUCUCACCAGCAGGAGAAAUGGUACCAUCUACAAAUGAUCCAAUAAACAAUAUCAUUUUAGAAAAGGUGUUAUAUUUUAGGGGCAUUUUACAAAACAGAAAUUAUGGGCACAAAUGCAAUAAGGGAUGCAGUGUUGCCUCUGACAAAGAAGAUGUGAAGAGGCAAAGCCUUAACUGUGCUGGGUUUGAACAGUCCACUGCUGCAGUUGGACAAGCACCUGAAGAGGAAAGUUCAAGGAGCAGCAAAGAAAAUACUGAGUUAACUUCUACAUCUGAAGACACAGGUAAUUGUGCUACAUCUGCACCAGAGAAACAUUUACCAGGUACACUAACCUCUCCUGCAGGAAACUCAAAACAUUCUCUUGAAACUGAAUCUUUUGGAAAGAAUGCAUUGGUAGAUUUGGAUUUGCCAGUAAAAAAACACUUGGAUAUAACUAUGCCUGCAAAUGGUGAUGGCAAGCUUGUUUAUUCAGGUGACUAUGAAGAUGAAACAUUUGUCAGUAGCAAUGAUGAAAGUAAAUGGUGUGAUAAGUACUUAGAGAAUGGCAUGACAACUCUUCAUUAUUCAUUAACUGCAUUGAAGGAGCUGAUUGCUAGUCUGGAGAAUGUAGAGACCAUUGCAGAGAUGGAUAACCUUCCUAAAGUUAUACUGCAACAAUAUUGGAAUGGGGAUAUAGAUAACAUUAAUCUCUUUACAUUCACAGAAUAUCCACAAAUUAUGGUGAAAGUUGCUGCCACUUGCGCAAAGAAUGAAGAUGAGAGUCCAGUGGUUCUCACCACAGUGCCUGGAGUUACCUUUGAUGAACUGACUGAGAAGCACCCAAGUUCAACGCGCAACAGCGGAUCAUCACAAGAAGAAAAUAAGUCUCUCAGGUUAAAUAUUAACAAGAAUUUGGAUGACCAAAUGGCCGGUGUUUCUUGGGCUCUGAAACCCAUGACGGAGAGGGAGAAAGGAGGCCUAAAACCAGUGGAGACAGUAGGGUUGGACAAUGUGCAAGGUGUGACAGAUGUCUCCGAUCUUCAAACCAUGUCAUGUUCAGGGGUAUUUGAAAACGAAACAUUUGAACACACAUCAUUCACUGAAACAGAUGCAUAUAAGAAAAGGAUGAAAGAAGUUGAAGACCAACAGCACUGUGAAGUUAUCUGUAAGGAAGUAAUUAAACAUUCCAAGCUAAAUUCAUCAAUUGACAAUAUUCGGAUUGAUAAUGUUCUGUCAAUUCCCGGAACAAGUCAUGGAGGUGCGAGAGAGGAUGCAGGCUCUGUGCAUAUACUAACUGAUGUAAGCAUAGCACUUUCUGAAAACAAAGUUGAAGAACACUCAUGUCCAUCUAAAAGUGAGGGCGAGGAAGCACUCUCUGUGAUAAAUCUACAAUAUGAAGAAAUUUCAGAUGAUGAAGGCAUAUCUCAACUGGCCACAGAACUUCCAAAAACAGAGCACAAGGAAUUAAGCUUUCAAGUAAGUUUUGGAAAUCCACAGUAUGAAGAUAUAAGUGAAGAUGACAAUACACAGACUGAAAAUAUGGCCAUGGAGGUGUCUUCAUUUACAGUACAUGAACCAAACAAUAAGCAGGCCCCAUUUGAAAAUGAAAGCUAUGGACAUAUGCAAGGUCAGGCUCAGAUGCAGACAGAAAUCAUCUCAGAUGAGGAACUGAUUCCAAAGAAGGUGGUUUCACCAGUGACCGAAACACUUGAUAUAGCGCAUUGCCCUAGUCCAUGUUCUGAUGACUGGAUGGUUAUACCUAUAAGCAUGGCUGACCUUAAAUUUGAACCAGAAGAUGAAGACCUGGGUGGCCCAGAAGAAGUUGUGCUAAAUGAUGGCGGUGAAACAGUAAAGAAAGAAACACAGUGUGUCACAAGUCCAACACGCUGUGAGUUACAAUGGCCAGCUCUAGAGGCCUUUGACACCGUUGCUAGCUUUCUACAACAAAAAGGUGUACAAUUUAAAACAUUAGCGGUAGUACCUGCCACAAGCGCACCAGAAAAUGACCCGGACUGUGAGAAAGAACCACAUACGCCUCAGGACAGAAGAGCGUCAUACCCUGAGUCUGAAGACAGCUGUGAAACUGAGGACAGCUGUGAUUACUCAUCUGACUCAGAACACAACAUUUUGACUGUGUCCACGCAGAGGCCAGUACCUCCCCAGCCUAAUGAAAGUUGUGAUACAGAGAACAGUUGUGAUUACCCAGCUUCUCUGUCCCCACCUCUGUCUGUUGAGUCUGUGUCUGAGGAUGAUGAUGAGGAUGAUGAUACAGAUGUGCAAAAAGGCCAAACCAGGUUCAAGCAGGUUCAACAUAAAAAGAAUGGACAAAUUAUAGACACAAUAAUCAUUGAUUCUGACACAGAGGAUGAAAGUGACGAACACUAUAAAAAGAAGGCAAAAGCAAAGAGGUUAUUUACUUCAGGCUCAGAUGACAGUGAAGAUGUACCAUUUAGUCAACAAAAUAGACAUUCACCUCAAACUGUGGACAGUCCGUGUGGAACUGUGGGUGAAGUAGUGAUGCAGGAUGAAUGCUCUGAGAGUGUUCAACAUAACGGACAAAUUUCUAAAAACGAAGAUGUAAUAAACCUUGUCUCUGACACAGAGGAUGACGAGGACAAAAACGUCUCCCCAUGUGUUCAACAAAAGAGACAAUCACCUCAAGCUAUGGAAGAGUAUGGAACGUUCAGAGGAACCAGACUGUUCUUUGCAGACUCCUCACUGACACAGCAUCAGUCUAAACUGGUGUCAGAAGAAAGAAAGAAGGCAAACCCAAAGAUAAUACGCUCAUCAGGAUCAAAGGACAGUGAUGCUACAAAAAUCAGACCUCCAGCUGAAACUGUGGACCGUCUUUGUGGAAUUGCCAAGAAAAAACCUAAAACAUCCAAACUGUCAUCUGAAGAUUCACAAAAGAUGCAUUCCCUUUCUGCAGACAAUGAGGCAGAAUCCACUUUGGGUCCUACUCCUGUGGUUCCUCGCCUUUUUGUUCUUAAGUCUGCUCAACCUAACAACUUGAAACUUUCAAAAGAAUCCAGAGACAACAUGCAUGGUGAUGGUAAAACUCAGGCUCCAAAGACUGGAACCAGCAAAAAGACAGACUUCUGUGAAAACAGUACACAGUAUCCCAUCAUAAAAAAACAAGUAAGAUUUGUGUUCAAACCAAAACCUCCAAAUGACAGACACCGUGCAACAAAGAAUAUAGUGCAGACCAAUGUAGCAAAACCCAUACUGGUUUCAAGACCACAAUCAUUACCUGACCAGGAAGGCCCAUCAACCUCCAGCGGUUGCUCAUCUUCCACUAGCGGACAACAUUCUGAAGCCAGACAAAGCCCCUCCUCGUCUAGAGCCUUGUCUCAGUCUGGAAAAACCUCCGCCUCCUCCAGUCUUCCAAGACAACAGUUGUCCUCAUCCAAACUGCAGCGGUCGAACAGCAACCCUUCAACAUUAGAUCAUCAUAACACUCCCACCGAAGGUCCUUCAUUUUCUGCAACCAGGCAGUCUUCAGCAAAGAAACAAGUGAAGAAAGCCUGGGAGAGUAGCCAUGUCCCAACAAGGAUAUACAGAAAAAGUUACCCGGGGACUGAGGAAGACUCGGGAACCCCAAAAUAUAAUUUGGUCAAUGAUGCAAGACUGGGACAUAUUCAUGACUGGGUACCCAGACGGAGGCACGGCUCCAAUGAGUCUACACCCCACCUGUUGAAGAAGUCAAAGUCUGAUGCCAUACAGUGGACAAGGGCCACAAAUCGAGACACGGCAAACAAACAAAGAUCGUCUGCUGUGAGCAAAGGUUACAAGUGGUCAGAGAAGCCAACAGUGGCUAAACCAACAAGAAGGUACCGGAGGUAAGGCAAGAAAUGUAGAACUUCACAGAGACCCCCAUCUGUGGAAAAAAGGUGCCACUGUUGAACUCCCACAGGGUCAGGUGGUUGAGGGGCUGUUGUAGCUGAUUGUGUCUUUCAUUUUCCAGAGCAUUUGGAUUUGGGUGUAGUACAAUGACAUACUACGUUGUACCUAAUAUCAGUGACUACCUGUACUGUACCUGUAUUAUACCUAGACUAUAUUGUACCUAUAUUAUAAAAACUGAAUAGUCUGUAUUUUAAGUAACUACUUACUGUAUAUGUAGAUACACAUACUGUAAAUACUAUAUAUUAUAUCUUUUUGCAGUUAUGUUAUUGUGUGUGAAUGUUGCGGCGUCAACUGAAAACCAAUAUUCUUUUUAUCAGCUACCUCAAAUUGUGUGAAGAUUACAGCAUUAUGCUGUUGCAUUUUUUUCUUUGAAUUCUGUAUAAACUUAUAGAUAUUUUAAUGCUAUUUUUUUUAUUAUUCACAUUCCUUACCCAUUUCAAGUGUUUCAACUGUUUUUGUACUUUGAAAACUCCGCUUUGAUUGCUACUACUAUUUCCUAUGGGCAAUGUUGUGUUCGUUUUUAUAAAGUUAAUGUCACAAUGCAUAGUCUAAUGGAUUUAUUGUUGUCCACUUUGUGUAUACUUCUGAUUCACCACUAGAGGGAGACAUUGCUAUAUACAUUGCACCUACAGUUGCUCUCCAUUUUAAGUGAUGCAAACCAAUGCCUGUGUUAAACCCUUAUAUAAACUGUCAAUGGUUAAACCAUUAUAUUGUGACUGGUCAGAUUCAUCAUCAGUCAUCUGAACAGGAACAGCAGUGGCAGCUAUAUUGAAAUUCUCAUCAUGUUAUAUUGGCAGCUUUAAAAUUGCGUCUCCAUCGUAUUGUCAUACAUUUCAGCAGUUGUGAUAGCCGAAGCUGGUGUUGAUCAGUGGAGCCAUAUCUGUCAAUAUUUAGUCAAUCCUUCAAUCUUUUUCUUAAAAGUUGACCAUUCAUUGCAUUGCAUCAUAAAAUGGAUCUGUUGGAUUUUUGUGUAAUGGCUGUAAUAUAUGAAACUAUUGGGUUUAUAUCCAUGUCUGUAAGUAUGCACUUGUUUUGCACAGAAUAAGAAGUAAAAAGUUGAAAUUUCAGUCACCUAUGUCAACCCUGAAUUUAAUUUGUACAUUAGAAUGACCUAGAUGUUUCCUAAAGG
rnacentral:lncRNA from 1 species